rnacentral:lncRNA from 1 species
AUCCCUGGAAGGUAGAGAAAGAAAGUCCCGGAGACUCUUCUCUCGGUGAGUGGGCAAGCUUCAGGUAUCUAGGAAUCACUGUAGGCUGCGUAAGAAGAGGGUGCAACUUGGAGUAUUGAUUGGGAAACUUCCUUUAGGGUUCUCAGGCCUCAAGAAAUGAUGGGGAAGAAAAUGACCUUACAAAUGGAAUCCAAAAAGAAGCUCCCCUUCUAACAGCAAUUAAAAGUGACUUCUUCAGAGGGAGGAGUGAAUAAGAAUAUCAGUCAAUGGUCAGUCUUAUUCACACACAGGAACCACACUAGAAGGCUAACUGUAGGCAUAUUAAUGAGCAUCAUCAAGGCCUAUUUCAGUUGGAAAAAACCUUGAGACUCACCUGGGGGAACACUUCAGCCAACUCCUUUGUCUCAGAGGUAGAAAACCUGAAGAUGUGGGUAAACCCUAAAGGAAGUUAUAGGUCAACCCAGAUGGAAAGGAAGACAAAGAGCCUUGAUACUUUGUUAGUGCCUAUUUUACAUACAUUUUGCUCCAUGUUCUGCCCAGAACCAUAUACAAACUCCUAAGCUGGCACACCAAAAUGGGUUUUUCUGCAACUGAUCCUCCUUCCCACUGUGGGACUCCUUUAACUUAAAUAAAUCCUGCUCUAUUUACUCUUAGAAAAAAAAAAGUGAUGGGGAAGGGAAAACCCAGGCUCCUAGACGCAAUCUUCCUCUUUUUAUUCAACCUGUUAUUUCUAAUAAGGGCUAUGUUUUCAUGUCCUUCAACUCCCCCUCCUCAGCUCUGAACAACUGCCCUGAAGGAAAAUUAUUAGUAGAUUACUGAGUAAAGGAGGGUUGGCUGCUAGAGUUGUUUUCUGCUCCAUUUCUCUUGAGGGAUGGCCCUCCUUCCUUUCCUCAAAGGUGUAUGUCAGGUGGGAGUUCUAGGGGAGCUGUGGGUGCAGCUGUGCUGUCACCUGCCUGGACUCUAGUAACCUCGGAAUAGCCCUUCCUGCACACCCCCGGAGCACAGUUGAAAGACCUGGAGAUCUACCUGUUCUUGGAAGUACCUCAGAUUAUUAACUGAGGACCAGAACUAAAAUCCUAACCCUUGAACAUCCAGUAGCAGAAAGCUCAUGCUCCCAGGGCAGAACUCCCUAGAUCAUCCAGUUCACAAAAUAUACUUUUACAAAGUUAUUUUCACUUCAGAACUAUUCACAAAGAGGUAAAAAGCAAAGCAAACCUACAAGAAAAACAACUUCCAUCAUCCCUGGGUUUGUUAGUUUUACGCUGACAAUGGAAGGACAUGGCUUAGAGGGUCUUCAUCUUUUAUUUGGCUUUGUUCUUUAUGAAAUGAGCCCAAAGCAUAAGCAUUUGAGUUGUAUUUUUCUGGAAUAGAUGUACUAAGAAAAAUGGGGUUAAACCGACUUGUACAUCUCUUAAGUUUGGUUCAUGCCUAAAUGUGAAAAUGUCUCAGAAAUUUAAAAAUUUUUAAUACAAUUCCUUCCAAUGAAAAACUGACGUCCUCUGUGAAAUUUUCUGGGGCAGCAUCUUCAUGAAGGAAGCAUGCGUUUUCCCAAUUUCUACAAGGUGUCAGAGGACUUAGUAGCAACCCCAGUGAAAUAGCCUGUAAUGGUUUUUAAAAGUCGGCCAAAGUGAGUACAUAGUAUUCAGCACCCCUGUUUUUUUUUUGUUUGUUUUGUUUUGUUUUGUUUUUGUUUUUUUUAAAAGAUAGAGAGAGGAGAGAGAGAGAAAGAUAAUUUUUUUAAUAUUUAUUUUUUAGUUUUCGGUGGACAUAACAUCUUUGUUUGUAUGUGGUGCUGAGGAUCGAACCCGGGUUGCACGCAUGCCAGGCGAGCGCGCUACCGCUUGAGCCACAUCCCCAGCCCACCCCUGUUUAAUUUGUAUGAGUGUUGUUCCUAUCUCCCUGUUCUCUCCAACAAAGACCAGUAAACGGGCCCUGCACUUCCCUUACUACCACCACAUUGUCUCCUUUUAGCUGCCAGAAGCAUCUAUUUAAAAGGAAAACCAUGCUGUAUUGUUCUCGUGCAUAAAAUCCCUAUUGGCUUCCACCAAGGAGCACAAUCCAGAGUCCUCAUCACAGCCUUCAGAGAUCUACUUGUUCUAGCCCCAGCUACCUCUUCACCUUUAAUCUGCUCUCACCCUGCCCUUUAUUUGAGGACUCUAACCAGGCUACUGCCACCUCAGGGCCUCUGCAUUUGCUUUCCUUUUGGGGACCAUUCUUUCUGUUGACCACAAAUACACAUAACUUACUUCUUUGUGUUGCAGAGAUUUCUUGAAUAGACAGUGCAUCUAAAACAGCCCUCUAUUUCUCCACGUUUUUAUCUCCUUAGCAUGCUUUUUUUUCCUUCAGCAUGCUGUUAAUAUUAGUAUUAUUAAUGAUCUUUCUCUUCCUUUGCAUCAUAGGCUACCUUAUGCAGUGUUUCCUGUUUUGUUCAUUCCCUUUUCCCCAACACAACACCUCAAUGGCUGGCCAUUGUAGGUUUCCACUUACAUAGUGAAUGCAGGAGUGACUUGGACUAGGUUAGUGGUGAUGGGAGACCAAUCCAGAAACAGUUGGGAGAUAAAAGCACAUCUUGGAUUAUAUAUGGAAAACAGAAGAAAUGGAGUUGUGAGGGAUUCUUGCUAGGUUUCUGGCUUUUUUGGGGAUAGACAGUGACAUCAUUCAAGGAGUUGAUAAUAUCUAGAAGGAGGACUAAUUUGGAAGAUGGUGGAAAUUUGUGCUGUUUUUUUUUUUGGGGGGGGGGGUCUCAUUUUACUUUUUUUUUUUUAAGUGUUUAUUUUGCCAGGCGUGGUGGUGCCCGGCUAUAAUAUCAGUAGUUCGGGAGGCUGAGCAGGAGGAUAGCAAGUUUAAAGCCAACCUCAGCAAAAGUGAGGUGCCAAACAACUCAAUGAGACUCUUGUCUCUAAAUAAAAUACAAAACAGGGCUGGGGAUGUGGCUCAGUGGUUGAGUACCUCUGAGUUCAACCCCCGGUACCCCUCUCUCCCCAAAAAGUGUUUAUUUUGAGACAGUUGAUUUAUAUGCAAUUAUAAGAAGUGGUACAGAGGGAUUCCAUGUCCCAUGUGCCCAAUUCUAAAAACAUAGUAUAAUACUGUAUCACAACCAAGAUAUUGACACUGAUACAAUGAAGAAAUGAAGAAUUCCUCAGUCUGUACAAGGAUGCCUCCUGAUACCCUUUUUUAGACACACCUAUUUCCUUCCUUGUUUAUUGUCCCUAUACCCCACCUUCCCUCAACCUUAAUCCUUGGUAACCACUAUGUGUUUUCUAUUUGUAUAAUUUUGUCCUUUCAAGACUGCUAUAUAGGGAUAUAACUCAGUGGUAGAGUACUUGCCUAGCAUGCAUGAGGCCCUAGGUUCAAUCCCCAAUACCACAAAAAAAGAAGAAAAGCUAUAUAAAUAAGAUAAUACAGUGUUUACAGCCUCUUUUAGAAUUGGCUCCCCACGCACACAUGCACUUAGCAUCAUUCUCUGGAGGUUCAUCCAGGUGAUAUAUGCAUCAGUACUUCAUUCCUUCUGAUUGCUGCAUUGUAUGCCACGGAAUGGCUUUGUCACAAUUUAUAGAACUAUUCCCUUGUUGAAGGACAUCCGGAUUGUUUCCAGUUUGGGGCAGUUACUAAUGAAGCUGCUGUAAACAUUCAUAUACAAGUUUUACACAAAAAUACAUAAGUUUUUAUUUUUUGUCUAAGAGUGCAAUUGCUAGGUCAUCAUGGUAGUUGAAUGUUUAGUUUUGAAGACAAGUAAAUUGUGUUUUAGAAUGACUGUCCCAUUUUACCAUUUUAUGUUGCACUAGCAGUGUGUGAGUAAUCCAGUGUUGCUGCAUACUUGCUGACAUUUUACCACAUCACUACUUUUUAUUUUAGCCAUUCUGAUGGAUAUAUGAUCAAAUACAUAGUGAUUUUCAUUUGCAUGUUCCUAGUGUCUGUUGAUGUUGGACUCAACAUAUUUCCAUAUGCUUAUUUACCAUUUGUAUGUCUUCUUUGUAUAAAAGAUACAUGUGUUUUCUUGUAUAUCUUUCUGUAUAAAAAUAUCUGUUUAUGUUUUUUGUUCAUUUUCUACUUAAAUUGUUUUGGGGUUUUGUUUAGUUGUUUUACUGUUGAGUUUGAGAAUUCUUAUUUUCUUAAUAGUAGUAAUUUUUCAGAUGUGUUUUGCAAAUAUUUUCUCUAAGUCUGUAAUUUGCCUUUUCAUCCUGUUAACUGGGUCUUUUAUAGAGCAAAAGUGUUAAUCUUGAUGAGGUCCAAUUUAUCAGUGUUUCCUUUUACGGUUUGUCUGUUUGGUAUCAAGUGGAAAAACUCUGCCUAUUCUUACAUCUUAAAUAUUUUCUUCUGUUCCCGCCCCCCAAAAGUGUUAAAAUUUUACAUUUAUGUACAUGACCCUUCUUAAGUUUUCUUAAAUUAUUAUUAGAUGUGAAAUUGUGUUAAGGUUCAUUUUUUUGCUGUGUAUAUUCAAUUGUUCCUCCGUUGUUUGUUGAAGAAGCUAUUUUUCUUCCACAGAAUUCUUUAGUACCUUUGUCAAAAAGCAGUUGAACAUAGUUGUUAGGAUGUCUGUUUCUGGGUUUUCUUUUCUGUCCAGUUGAUCUAUGUCUGUUCCUCUGCCAAUACCAGUGUUGAUCACUGUAACUGUACAUAGGCCUUAAUUUAUGUAUAUAGUGGUUACUCUCAGUAUUUUUCCAAAAUUGUUUUAAGCUAUUCUAGUUCCUUUGCUUUUUCAUACAAAUUGUAGAAUAAUGACCACAAAAAAAAAAACAUUUGCUUGGAUUUUGAUAGGAAUGACAGUAAACCUGUAUAUUCAUUUGAGGAUAGUUGAGAUCUUUAUUAUGGUCAAUGUUCUAAUCCACAUGGCAUGUCUGUUUCUUUAGCUUUUUAAAUUUUUCAAUGGUGUUUUGUAAUUUUUAUGUGAGUGCUGCAUGUAUUUUGUUAGAUUCACUUGCAAAUAUUUUUGAGCAAUUGUAAAUGGCAUUAUAGUUUUAAUUUUAGUGCUCACUGUUCAAUGCUAUUAUGUAGAAAUAUAAUUAAUUUUUCUAAGUUAAUAUUGUUCAUGUAACCUUCCUUCUAUGUAAUGUAUUACAGAUUUCUUAGGAUUUUUAACAUACUGUUACCUACAAGUAGGGACAGUUUCUUCCUUUCUGAUAUAUACACACACAUUUAUGUGUGUGUGUGUAUGAGUAUGCGUGUUUUAUUUUCUUUCCAGUUGCACUGACUAAACCAUGCUGAAUAAGAAUGGUAAAAGCAAGCCAGGACUAUUGGCACAUGCUUAUAAUCCCAGUGAUACAGGAGCCUGAGGCAAGAUGAUCACAAGUUUGAGGCCAUCCUGGCCCUGUCUCAAAAUAAAAAUAGCUAGGGAUGUAGCUGUGUGGUAGAGUACCCCCGGGUUCAAUCCCCAGUAACUCCUCCUCUCCCACCCCCACAAAAAAAAAAUGUGGUUACAGCAGACAUUCUUACCUUGGUCCCAGUUUUGGGGGAAAGCAUUCAGUGUUUCCCCAGUAAAUAUAUUAGCUGUCAAGUGUUUUUAGAUAUCAUUAAUUUAAGAAACUUCUCCUUAUUUUUGGUGAUUUUAUAUUUGUAUAUCAUGAAUGGUAGCUGGAUUUUGUCAAACUUUUUUUUUUUUUAUUUUUGGGGUCAUUGUUGUUGUUAUUGUUACUGGGGAUUGAACCCAGGGGUGCUUAACCUCUGAGCCACAUCCCCAACCCUUUUAAUAUUUUAUUUAGAGACAGGAUCUUACUGAGUUGUUUAAGGCCUCAAUCGAUUGCUGAGGCUGGCUUUGAACUGGAUAUCCUCCGGCCUCAGCCUCCGGAUCCUCUGGGAUUGUAGGCAUACACUACCAUACCCAGCUGGAUUUUGUCAGAUUUUUUAUAUUAAUAGAAUAAUAUUAUUUUGGUUUUUUGCCCAUUAAUAUUGUUGAAUACUUUAAUUUUUUUUUAAUGUUGAACCUGCCACACAACACUGGAAUUAACACACAUAAUAAUGAUGUAUAAUUCCUUUUAUAUAUUGCUGGGUUAUAUUUACUAAUAUUUUGUUAAGGACUUUUACAUUUAUAUUCAUGAGAGAAAUGGGUCUGUGGAUAUAUUUUUUAAAAUUUAUUUUGUAGAUGUAGAUGGACAGCAUGCCUUUAUUUUAUUUGUUUAUUUUUAUGGUGCUGAGGAUUGAGCCCAGUGCCUCAUACAUGCUAGGCAAGCGCUCUGCAACUGAGCUACAGCCCCAGCCCCAUGAAUAUAUUUUAUUAUACUGUAAUUAUCAUAUCAAGGUAAUGUUCACUUCAUAAAAUGAAUUAGGAGGUGUUUCCUGUGCUGAUAUACCUGUGACACAGUAUUUCACUCAUAACAGUGUAAAUUCUAGAUGUAUAAAACAGAAUACUUAAGCCAGGCUCCAGGGAUCAUGCCUAUAAUCCCAUUUGUUUAGGAGGUUGAGGAAGGAGGAUUGUGAGUUCAAAGCCAACCUCAGCAACUUAGGCCCUAAGCAACUCAGUGAGACCCUGUCUCUAAAUAAAAUAUAAAAAGAUAAUAUUUAAAAAUCAGACUUAUCCCAACUGUCCCUUAGUGAAAUUGUGUUGGUAUAUCAACACAGGAAAUUCUAUGCAACAGUAAGAAAAGAAAUAAGAGAUAACCUCUGUAAAUUUCCCUAGGAGAAUCUGGAUCCCUAGAAUCUCCAUCUCCAGAAUAUGUAAUGAAGGGUAUAGAUACAUUAUGAAUAUGUUAUGAAGGAGGAAAUGCAGAACGGUGUGUAUCACACCUUUAUAUAAGAAACAAGAAUGAUACACAUCUCUGAUUAAUUAUAAGGUGAAGACAAAAAAAGAGGAUAAGGAUAGAUUUUUUUUCUGAAGGCACCUUGUUUAUAGUUUUUAAAUUGAAAGUAUGAAAAUUCUGAUGUGAUUAUGAAACAAGAUUAAAUAAUAAAGAAAUCCUCAAAAAUGGAGAACAAAAUGAAACAAAUGAACCUCAUUGUGUUUCAACUUUGGCUUAAAUAGAGAAGAAUCACUUCAGUGUCUUUAAAACACUGCACUUCAACUGAAUUUCCUAGUGGAAUAAUAGCCUAAAGACAAAAAGAAUUGCCAACAAAUGUUAAAUUGUUCUUUUGUUUGUUUUGUUUUGGGGUUUUGGGUUUUGGUUUUCGGUUUUGGGGUUUUUGUUUUGUUUUGUUUUGUUUUGGGUUUUUUUGGUACUGGGGAUUGAACUCAGGAGCACUUGACCAUUGAGCCACAUCCGGAGCCCUAUUUUGUAUUUUAUUUAUUUAGAGACAGGGUCUCAUGAGUUGCUUAGCACCUCACCAUUGCUGAGACUGGCUUUGAACUCACAAUCCUCCGGCCUCAAUCUCCCAAGCCACUGGGAUUAUAGGUGUGCACCACCAUGCCCAGCUUACAUUGUUCUUAAUUCUCAUAUUUUUAGCAAUUAUACUGUUAUGUUAUUUUGAAAUUACAAUGUAGAUUAUAAGAAAAACAAAUGAAUAAUUUUGUUUAUAUUAGAAUCCCAUUUUUAACACAAGAAAAAAGGGAUGAGAAUAUAAAAUAAGUUGCAAGGCCUAUAAUGCUAAGUUUGAAUUGAAAAUAUAGAAGAAACUUACUCCUAUUGCAAGGAAAGAUAGAAAAGUGUAAGAAGGCUUAAUUUUUAAUUUGAAUGUGGGAAAUUUCAAGCAUAUGUAAAAGUAAGGAGAUAGUAUACUGAAUCUCCAUUUGUCCAUCAUUCAUAUCAACAGUUAUCAACUCAUGGUCAUUUUUCUUCCAUUGAUACCAGUGGUUCUGUACUAGGUGCUCUUUUGUCAUUUGCCAAUGUCAUGAAAGAUUUUUGCUUAUGAUAACCUGGAUGGGAGUGUUCUAUCAGGAAGGUACUAGUGGCAUCUAGUCAUGCUAAAUUAGUGUGUCAAUUUCAAAUGCUUCUACUUCACUGAAUAAGUUUUAUCAUUAAUUCUCUGGGAUUUGGGGGGCUUAGUGCUAUACCAUCAACAAUUGGAGGUAGUUUCACUUACCUUUUACUCAUCCCUAUAUCUAUAAUUGAUUUCUUAUGUCUGAUUGCAUUAAUACUUCUACAGCAUUGAAUAGUAGGAGAAAUAAUGGAUGUUCUCACCUUGGUUUUCAUUAUAUUGGAAAUACACCUAGUGUUUCUUUACUAUGUAAAGUACUAGUUGUAGGGCUAAAGUAUGUGUGAAUUUUACCAUAAUGUGGAAAUAUCCCCCAGUUUCCUGUUUCUGUGCGUGUUUAUAUUAUUUGUAAUGCAAGAUUUUUUUAAAGCUUUUUUGAUAUCUCUAGAUAUAUAUUUUUCCAUUAAAUAUACAUAUAAUAAUAGAGUUGUGUACCACUUAAUGAUGUUUUUGGUCAACGAUGGACCAUAACAUUGGUUCCAUAAGAUUACAAAAGAGUAAGAAAUUUCCUACUUAGUAACAUCAUAGCCAUUGUACCUUUUUUUUUUUUUUUUUUUUUUAAAUUUUUUAUUUGGCAAGUACUGAGAUCUGAAACCAGGGAGCUGCACCUGGCUAAGAGUACUUACUGAGCUGUAUGUACUCUUAGCCCUUUUUAUUUAGUUAUUUAUUUUGUGACAGGGUCUUGCUAAGGUACAAAGGCUGUCCUUCAAUUUUCAAUCCUGCAUCAGCCUCCCAAGUCCUGGGAUUGCACGUGCUCCACUCCCAGCUUUGUAUUGUUAUUUUACAGUGUGUUUUACUUGUGAAAAUAGAUAAGUUUAAGUAGGCUGUGUUACCCUGGCAGCAGCCUCAUCCAUCUUGUGUUUACCACAUCAACGGGUCACAUCAAGUGAUUAAUCUAUACCAUCUAGGUUAUGACACAUAAUUGCACAUUGUUUAUAAUAAAGAAAAGGCAUGGAUUGUUGAAGCUUAGUGUUAUGAAAAGGUGUAAGAGGAGUUAACAUUCACACUGAAUCUGACAGUUCCAGAGGGGUUUUAACAUAUAGGAAAGGGAAUCAAGACAUUGAAGAUUAGAAAUAAUUUCAGAAGUAAGGUGAUAUACAGAUCCAUCACAGACUUUAGAUACCAGACUACAUUUCCCAACUCAUAUGCCUCUUCUAGUUCAUUUUCUCCAUUCCACUUUGUCAAGCAUGCCCUCUGUAAACAAGCUUACACUUUGCUUUUGUUUUUAUCUAAUACAUCUGCCACCAUUCAUUUUCCUAUUUUUACCUUUUGCUAGCGUCUUUUAGACAUGUAGCAAACCCUUAUUUAGAUAUCACUAAUAUUUCCUGUAUAAAUUUAGUCUCAAUCACAUUAAUCAUUGGCAACUUCUUUCUUUUCUUUUCUUUCAGGAUAUAAGAGCAGUCUUCAAACCACAAAGUCAACUCAAACUAAAGACUUCACAUUUCAAGGGCUGAGGAGGAAAAGACUAAAAAGGGAUGAACUCUGGGACGUUAUAUCAGAAAAACCCUGUAUAUCUGAAAACAGGUUAAAAAGACAGCAAGACAAAAAUGAAAGCUUAAAAAUAUUUUCAGUUACCCAUAAGAAAAUUCUUACUAUAGACAAAAGCCA